CGACCGCUGCCGGGUUUCCCGGCGGCCAAGGCCAGACGGACAGCCGGGUCGAAUGCCGA
rnacentral:sRNA from 12 species